rnacentral:lncRNA from 1 species
ACCCCCACAAAACUUCUCCUUCCUUCUUCCGAGGCUCUUCUCCUCCUCGCCUCCCGGCGACACCGGCGGCGCGUCCUCCGAAGUUACCCCGAGGAGGAAACUAGGAAGAGCUUGGAAUAGUGCAUUGAACCGCCCGCGGGUCAAAUGGAAAUGA